GUCUCUUAGCAGGUUCCAGCACACCCCUGUUUCCAUGGAACUAGAAGAUUACAUCUUCUAUAUUUGUGGUAUCCUCAGUUGGCAGGAUUAGAUCUCCUACCUUCCCAUAUUGAGAGGUUGAGAGAUUUACUCCAGUUGACAAGUUAUAGCAUCACAGGACCUAAGAUCUGAUGAUGACAUUAUUCCCUGAGCAUUAUACUGCACAACUGCUGACCUGAAGUAAUAUUUAUAGUAAUACAGAGAUAUACUGUUUAUGUUUAAUAUCCAGGCUCUCCAUAACAUGUAUAUGCAAAUAUAUAUACAGAGGAGAUGUACAUACAUAUAGAUAUGCAUGUACACAUACAUUUAAAUUGGCCUUAUUUAUUAACCCUUUCAAAUUUCUAGACAAUCAACAAAACAAUAAUUCAAACUUUAAUUUAUAGACCAUUGCUUUCUGAGUACAAAUACUCAAAAAGAAAACAUAACCCUCUGCUUUGGAUCAGAACUGCCUCAAGCCACCUCCCACUUUCAUAUUAAAAAGGGUGCUUCCAAGAUCUCUGGAAACCUGAUCUACAAAUAUCAAAUCCAGUGUUUUUUCCCACCUUCCACUUUGCCUCAAAAUCUUAUGGAAUUAUCAGUGAGAGGAUAAUAAAAAAUAUGAGUUGUGAAGAAACUAGCAAAUAAAGGAAAUUUCAGCUAAUCAAUAGCAAUAAGUGGCUGAAGCAAAGCUUUGAAAGACUGGAUAUGAAUAUGAAGAGUUUUAACUUCAGUAAA